rnacentral:rRNA from 1 species
UACGUAGGGGGCAAGCGUUGUCCGGAAUCAUUGGGCGUAAAGAGCGUGUAGGCGGUUCGGUAAGUCGGCUGUGAAAGUCCAGGGCUCAACCCUGGGAUGCCGGUCGAUACUGCCGGACUAGAGUUCGGAAGAGGCGAGUGGAAUUCCCGGUGUAGCGGUGAAAUGCGCAGAUAUCGGGAGGAACACCUAUGGCGAAGGCAGCUCGCUGGGACGUUACUGACACUGAGACGCGAAAGCGUGGGGAGCGAACAGG